UGGCGGACGGGUGAGUAACACGUGGGAACGUGCCCUUUGGUUCGGAACAACUCAGGGAAACUUGAGCUAAUACCGGAUGUGCCCUUCGGGGGAAAGAUUUAUCGCCAUUGGAGCGGCCCGCGUCGGAUUAGCUAGUUGGUGGGGUAAAGGCCCACCAAGGCGACGAUCCGUAGCUGGUCUGAGAGGAUGAUCAGCCACAUUGGGACUGAGACACGGCCCAAACUCCUACGGGAGGCAGCAGUGGGGAAUCUUGCGCAAUGGGCGAAAGCCUGACGCAGCCAUGCCGCGUGAAUGAUGAAGGUCUUAGGAUUGUAAAAUUCUUUCACCGGGGACGAUAAUGACGGUACCCGUAGAAGAAGCCCCGGCUAACUUCGUGCCAGCAGCCGCGGUAAU
rnacentral:rRNA from 1 species